rnacentral:lncRNA from 1 species
AUUAAAACAGGUUUGGCAUACUAGAGAAAACACCAGAAUAUGACAUUGCUGCAUAACAUAGAAGACCUUCUCUUGCUUUUAUGUACAUAUUUGUUGCAAAGAAGAAUAAGAAAGUGUUUAAGGAAUAUAUUAACUCCCCUACAGUUCCUUAAAAUGAAAGUAUGGGCUAUGAAUUAUGUACACCUCUCUGUAAGGACCAAAGCCUGACAAAAAAAAGAAACAGAAGAUUUGCAUUCAGAGACAUCUCUAUUUUAAUAGAGAAGGAUUUUACCCAAAAGUACGUGCUACUGUGUGACAGACAGCUGCUUGACUGGCAAGAGGGAAGCAGAUGACUACCUGAUGAUGGCCAAUUUUCCUGCAGCUCAGUUGGAGGGCUUCUAGUCCAAGCCAAGUUGUCUUGGCUCCCUCUAUAGUCCAAAUAAAGAAAAAGGCACUUCUGGAGAGCAGCUGUUCUCAUACCACACGUUUAUCUUUGGUGCACUGAUGCCUCUUGAUCCCCAGUGUGCUGCAGAGGGGACCUUGAUGAGCAUCUUAGACAAGAACUCAAGUAUUUGACAGUCAACACCAGGCUGUUGAACUAACUGUUACUAGGUUUUCAAACAUAAUGGAAAACAGUGGGAAGUAGAAUUUAAAUAGGACUUGAACAGCAAUUUUGCAAUUUUUCCAGCCCUAACAGAAACUUUAUAAGACUUCUAAAUGCCUCACACAUCCUGUCCUCCCAAGGUUCUGGAUGUUACUUGUGAGAUACCCUUGGACUAGGGUUGUGUCUUCUGCUCAUUGCUGUACAGAGCUAUCUUAUGGAGCAAGAGGAUAGCCAAAAUAUCCUGUGCUUUGUGUGUGAACUUACUAAAUGGCAUCCAAUUUAUCUACAGAGAACAUUUAAGCAAGCAGAAAAGUAUUUCCCAUUGUGUAUGCACAAUCAGACUGGUACACUGCACAGUUAGUUUCUGCUAUGAAUUCCAGAGAGUUCAAAAGGUAACAUUAGUUGCACCUAUGUGGUUUUGCUCAAGUAAAUGAGGACAUUUUCUCUGCACAGUGCCCACACUUUCGCUACUAGCAGCUACUUCUAGUUGUGCACAGCCAAGAGCCAUUUUCUUUCAAAAUAUGUUCCAUGAUCCCAAACUUUUCUGCGUGGACUUAUUUGGGAAAGAACAAAGCCAGCUGAUGCCCUGACUCUUGCUCCAGUCGAUGGGGGUACAUACAACCCUGUCUGGAGGAGUGAAGUCAGGUGAGUGCAAUCAGGAUACAUGCAGUUGGAAACCUUCCUGCCUUUCCUCCCAUCAGGUCUUUGUCACACUCUACUCUAAAUAAGAGCACAUGUUACUUAAGACAGUAAUGUGAACAUUUUGCAAGGCGAAUUGCUGCAGAUAUGUAAUGGCAGAAUGUGGAAGAGGAUAAGCAACAAAUGCUCUGCAUUGUCAGGCUCAUACCACAGAUUAUCUCCUAGAGAAUUACAUUACUCCACCUGGAUGCUAAUAAAUAUAUUCAAGUAAAUUCCACUAUAUUAGUAUGGCAUUUUUAGCUUAAAAAUGUAUUAAACUCAAUUCAUACAAAAGUAUUAGCAUUUCAAAACUAGACCUAUACAGAAAUAUUUUCCUUACCAAUUUCCUGAUCUGAGUCACUGCUUUUAAUUCAAGACAGCUGUUCCAUGACAGGACAGGACUCAACUGAGAUCCCAGUGAUGACUCCAUUGCCUUGGGUGUAGUAACGAAGACGUGGCCACUGCAGGGUUGUGGUCUGGUUUUUAAACAUAACAUGGCAAGUUAGUGAAACAUUAAAAUGCAAGAGAUCAUUAUAUUCAAGACUUUCUCUUCCCUGCUCCUUCUCCUAAGGGGAAAUCAGACACACAGGAUUGUAGACUUCUGCCAUCACUUGCCAUGGGUGGGUGCAGUUGGACACCAGCUUAAGACAGAAAGGACAAAGCUGAGGAUGAGCUGAAAGUGCUUGCACCAGCCCCACGGCUCCAUGCUCCUCCAGUGUGUUUUUGAGUAGCAUCAUGCUUCUGAGAAUAUGUUCCUUAGAGGACUUGGUGAAAAAGAAUAAGAGCAUGAUAAGCAAGACCAAAUAAAUAUUACAUAAACUUAUUUUCAUAAGUAAAUCUCAAGGUACUUUACAAUGGAAGGUCCAUCUUUUUUCCUUUAUGCAACACGAGAAACUGAGGCACAGAGAAAGUACAUAAAUAAAUAUAAAUUAUAAAUUCUUCAGAUUUUGUCUUGAACAGAAAUCAGAAUUUACAAUUCAUUGGUUAUUCUGAAAUAAAAAAUAAAAUAUAAAAUAUUGAAAGGGAGAAAAGUAAACUGGAACUUUGUUGUCAACAUUAGACAGGAAGCUAGAAAAUGUUGUCACUUUAACCCAGGGAAUGUCCUUCGUCAUUGUAUAUUACAGUGUUAAAAAGGUAUAAUCAGUAGUACGGAUUAAAAGUCAAAUAACAGUAAUUAUAAUGAUGGAAUAUAUCUUUUAUUGAAAUAUGUCAUAUUAAAAAGAAAUAAAAUGAACAGUGUAGGUUAUUCUCAAUUGGCAAUUUUGUUUAUACAAUCAAAUUUCUGCAAAAUUCUCCAACUAUGAAAACAAACUUUUUUUUUUAAUGGAAAAGGGUUUAGUUUAUCUUAAGACUUGAUGUGGUGACAUUAUGUUGGCUGUGUUUUAUGCUGUGGAUUUACUGUCAUACCCAGUGACGUCAGCACAGACCACGUCAUUAAGUUAGGGGUUCACCACUUCAACCAAGUGUUUAGCUUUCUGGGUUGAAGGUUUGGAGAAAUUUAUUUGUGGGAUGAAUGGAGAUUUAGGCUGUUGAAGCAUAAGUGUUGUUUAGAAAAUAUGUGCUAUUUACAUUGUGCACAAAACUAUAUGAGACACAGAUAUAAGAAUGUAUUACUAUGUAUAUAUCUAGUAUAAACACACCAUGAUUAAAUAUCAUUUGUUCUGUAAUUAUCAAUUGAGAAAAUAAAUUGUAAGACAAAAGCAUUGGUAAUGAUUGAACACAGACAGUUUAAUCAAGCAGCAACUUUUGAAGAAGUAAUUUUGUCCUAAAAGUCAAAAGUAAGUAAAGCCAUAAUUGAACUUAAACUGCUGAAGUUCAAAUUAAAGCACAUAUUCACCAUCAAUGACUGUGCCUAAAGACACAGGCAGUGAUACAGAGGCAGAAGUGAGAAGCACAGCUGGUUCAAGCACAGCUGGCACCUCCCUGGGAAAGUGCCAAUAAUCCCUCUGACACAUGCAAGGCUCCCAGUGCUGGAGAAAACCAAGAAUACAGGGCUAAAAUUUGGCAGCUACUUAUCAGCAUGUGAUUUAGUGACAUAAGAUAGCUAAGUACAUAAUUACCUAUAUAUAUAUUUUUUAAUUCUCAAAAUACUGCUGGUGCACAGGAGUUCUCAAUGGGAAUCAGGAAGAAAUCUGGGAGACUUUCCAAGUGCAGGAUUGGAAGGCUUACAUAGUCACAAUUAUGAUUUUAGAAAAACAGACCACAAAUAUGUCACGCAGACUGGAGAGUGUGAUGUAUAGAUAAACACAUACACACUGCAUUGAUUGUAUUUUGUAACAAAAGGGAUGAAGACCAGCAUGUGUGUCUUUGACAGGAUAGCUCAAACAAAAAUCACAUGUACAGCAAACAUUCCCCAUAAUUCUUGAAAUUAGGCAAAAGUGUGUUAAAACUCCAAGUUGCACAAGGACUUAAAAUGCUUGUAUGCAGUUUGGGAAAUGACUGAAGGAAAAUAGAAAGUGUCUGUGACAAGAAAGCAAAAAGACAGCUUUGAGAUGAUGGUAACAUAUUUUUAGAGCAUAAGUAAGUUCUCUUAAAAUCAGUUCUCUCUAUGCUUGUUCAUUACUCCUAGUCAUAUUACUAGAAAUUCCUUCAACGUACCUGGGAGCACAAAUUAACAUAAUAUUAGCAAUGAAUCUACUGACAUAUUUCAAGUACUUGGACUACUGUGAACUGAGAGAUUGAGUCAAUUUUAAGAGAUCACUUAAAAUCAACUUCAGUACAUUGUUUCUCCUGGUGUGAAGUAAUGUGGUUAUGUGGUCUCACUCAACAAAGUCGUGCCUGCGUGGAGCAGCUGGUGUGCCUGAUCUUCACGUGUGGUCUCCCCUUGAUUUUGCUGGAUUCAGGAUCAUCUGCAGAGAGCAUAUGUAUCUGGAUAAUGGAUUUGCCUCACUGAAACUGCAGCCUUCAAGACAGACCAGCAGCUCAGCAGUGCACCUGGAUACUUUAGCAGGAAAUGAAGCUGUUUGGAAUACAAAGGAAAAAAAAAUCUGCAUGGGUCAUGUUUUUCGUAUGAAAAUAAUUAGAUAUUGUAGAUAUUCCUUCCCCUCUCUGGAUGAUUCUCACAGAUCAAUGAGUGGAGGCUGUCCUGAGUGGUCCAGUUUGUUUUCAAUUCAUUUAUACAUAUUUAAUAAGUACUUUGUAAAACCUGUUCACAUCUUUCCUUAAUCACAGAUCUUACAUAAACUCUGUUAUCAAUACUGGAUACUUCCAAAGGAGAGCUAAAACGAGAGAGAGUCUGUUUCAGAAAAGCACUGAAUGCAAACAUACAAAUCACACAGAUGGGCUUACUGCUGACAAACAGACAAAAAUCAAAAAUUAAAUGUCCACAUUCCUUAUCAAGAAAAGGAAACAAACAAAUAAAAGAUCAGAAGAAGGGAUCAUUCAGUAUUUUUUCCCAAUAUUAUAUGAAUAGUCUAUUUGUAAGCCUGGAGAGUGAUGUGUUUAAACUGGAAGCAUAAAUGUAUAUUUCAAUACAAAAGCACAAGAACAUCUGUAUUUCUAACUGUUUAUGUCACAAUUUGCACAUAUUUUCUUAUGUCUUCCAACCAAAAUUUAUUCUACCUAUUUUUUUUAAUAAUAAGUUUCUAAGAAUAGGUAUAUUAAAUAAAAGAAAUUAUGUGUGGGAUGCAAAUUCUCAUUAUAAAAAUGUUUCUAUCCCUCUGGCUUUAGAGAUAACUUACCAAACAUAAAUUGCUUCAGUAAUAAGGUUUCAUGAAUAUAUUACAUAUCCCUGCAUAAAUUUGUGGGGAGCACUUUUUGUCUGAAGCAUAGAAAACAUUCCACAAUAAAUACAAAUGUUCAUACCUACUUUAAAAACAAAAAAAAUAUAUAUUUUUUUACAUUUACGAAGCUUUUUUGCCUCAGAUAUGUUUUCAUGUUGUCCUUGUUUUCUACAGCUCCCAAACUCAUCUUUAAAUUAAAAUAAUUAAACAUAAGCUCUGUAUUUCCCUGUGCUAUUGUGAAUUAGCUCCCCAGAUGGGGUAGUUCUGUCUGGACAAGCACAGUAACAUUGACUGUCCCUUAUAGGUCCUGAGGCACAAAUACAAUCUAACUUCAUUUCUCCUGGCACCAUUUGUAGCUAAAUGGCAGACCUGAAACUCAAAAUAUUAACAAUAGAAUUACAUUCUUGUCAAUGUGGCAUGGAGAUGGAGUGGAAGUGCAGGGGCACUCAUGUAAUAAGCUGUGAGUUUCCCCACAUGGAAACUUUGCUCUUCAUCAGUUUUCCAAAUACAAAAGUAGAGGGAAAAAAAAAACAAAAAACAAAAAACAAAAAACUGUAAUAGAAUUACAAAGAACUUGGUGAUAGAAAGAAGGAGGAGUUCACUAUAAAAAGAAAUAAUAAGGAUCCUGAUUUAGACUCUCUGAAUCAAGUAAUGGCUGCAUAGAAAUCCAUGGUAACUCUUCCACUGUCUCAUGUGGGGCCUUGUUUAAUCUUCUACAGCCAUGAAUAUCCUAUAGCAAAUAUUUUUGCCAGUGAGGAGAGAAAGAAAAGAUAAGCAAUACUGCAGAGAAAAAACCAACAGUCCAAGCAUUCCUAGUAUGCAUAGUAAAAGAAUUAGUAAUACUAGAUCCUCCAGAAUUUAAUGAAAUCCUGCAUUUUUCUUUCAAAAUAUAGUAAACUCACGUGUUGAUAAGUGUAGUUAAAGCAUUUCUUACUUCAUUAUUUUGUAAAGAAUUGCACGAUGACAUCACCUAAAGACACAGCACUUCUCAGGGAUUUUGUGCAGAAUCUUAACCUUUACACUAGCAACAUAAUUUAAGAAAGUGUCCUAUGUAAAUCCUUGAAUCUCCUAGGGUCUAGGAGUGAAACAUAAUGCUAAUUUGAUUUAGUAAUUUGUUCUUUCUCCCCAGAAACACACAAUUACCACUCUCAAAAGACUUUUUUUCUUUUUUUUUUUUUUUCUUUUUCCAUCAUGCUUGGACUAAAUUGAAAGUUGAGUCGGUAGCAAAGCCCAGGCUGGGAAUGUAGCAGACCCCUGCUACCCCGUCUGUAACAAGCCAG